rnacentral:rRNA from 1 species
AACGCUGGCUGUGUGCCUAAUACAUGCAUGUCGAGCGAAGGUAGCAAUACCUUAGCGGCGAAUGGGUGAGUAACACGUACUCAACGUACCUUUUAGAUUGGGAUAGCUAACGGAAACGUUGGAUAAUACCAAAUACUUAUUAGUUUCGCAUGAAACUAAUAUAAAAGGAGCCUUUAAAGCUCCGCUGAAAGAUCGGGGUGCGCAACAUUAGCUAGUUGGUGAGGUAACGGCCCACCAAGGCGAUGAUGUUUAGCGGGGUUGAGAGACUGAACCGCCACACUGGGACUGAGAUACGGCCCAGACUCCUACGGGAGGCAGCAGUAGGGAAUAUUCCACAAUGAGCGAAAGCUUGAUGGAGCGACACAGCGUGCAGGAUGAAGGUCCUAUGGAUUGUAAACUGCUGUGGUAAGGGAAGAAAAAGUAACUUAGGAAAUGAAGUUACCUUGACGGUACCUUAUUAGAAAGCAACGGCUAACUAUGUGCCAGCAGCCGCGGUAAUACAUAGGUUGCAAGCGUUAUCCGAAAUUAUUGGGCGUAAAGCGUCUGUAGGUUGUUUGUUAAGUCUGGCGUCAAAUUUUGGGGCUCAACCCCAAACCGCGUUGGAUACUGGCAGACUAGAGUUAUGUAGAGGUUAGCGGAAUUCCUUGUGAAGCGGUGAAAUGCGUAGAUAUAAGGAAGAACACCAUUAUGGCGAAGGCGGCUAACUGGGCAUACACUGACACUGAGAGACGAAAGCGUGGGGAGCAAACAGGAUUAGAUACCCUGGUAGUCCACGCCCUAAACGAUGAUCAUUAGCUGAUGGAGAAUUCGUCGGCGCAGCUAACGCAUUAAAUGAUCCGCCUGAGUAGUACGUUCGCAAGAAUAAAACUUAAAGGAAUUGACGGGGAUCCGCACAAGCGGUGGAGCAUGUGGUUUAAUUUGAAGAUACGCGUAGAACCUUACCCACUCUUGACAUCUUCUGCAAAGCUAUAGAGAUAUAGUGGAGGUUAACAGAAUGACAGAUGGUGCAUGGUUGUCGUCAGCUCGUGUCGUGAGAUGUUCGGUUAAGUCCUGCAACGAGCGCAACCCUUAUCCUUAGUUACUACCAUUAAGUUGAGGACUCUAAGGAGACUGCCGGAGUAAUCCGGAGGAAGGUGGGGACGACGUCAAAUCAUCAUGCCUCUUACGAGUGGGGCUACACACGUGCUACAAUGGACAGUACAAAGAGAAGCAAAAUGGUGACAUCAAGCAAACCUCAAAAAACUGUUCUCAGUUCGGAUUGAAGUCUGCAACUCGACUUCAUGAAGUUGGAAUCGCUAGUAAUCGUAGAUCAGCUACGCUACGGUGAAUACGUUCUCGGGUCUUGUACACACCGCCCGUCAAACCAUGGGAGCUGGUAAUGCCCGAAGUCGGUUUAUAAAGAAACUGCCUAAGGCAGGACUGGUGACUGGGGUUAAGUCGUAACAAGGUAUCCCUACGAGAACGUGGGGAUGGAUUACCUCCUUUCU